UUUCCAACGGACUGGCUGAGAUGCUGAAGGUACUCUGUGCAUGGCUGUGAAUGGAGUAACACAGGGAAUUGCACUAUUGCACUGUGCAGUGAAUUUUGGAUUUUUGACACAAAAUUGACUAACCAAAUUACAAGAAUGCACAAUCCACAUUUUCCACAUACUUCCUGAAGUUCAUGCCCCCUUUCACGGCAUUCUCAUGUUUAUUCUGUUUCAAGUCCUCGGACGCUUCAAGUCCUCCAUGGUGAUCGGAGCAGCGUUGCAGUCAGAUGCAGCAUCCGCGUCCACCAGAAUUGCCAUAGAGACCAUGCUGGAGGAGCUUGCUCCCAACUUGUGGGAGGACGACCUGGAUCGCUUGGUGGAUUUCGGGCAUCUAAUCAGUCCGGAACUCGAGAUGAAAGUGCUGCCCACCCUGCUGCAUGGAGAGGCGGUGAACAUUGACAUGUCCCUCAUGGUAUAUGUGGCGUGUGAGAGGGGUCUGCUGUCUAAGGAGGAGAGGAGCAGGAUUGUCCGGUGCAUGCUGGGACUGGAGCUGCCCGUAUGGCAUCAUGACUGCACCCUGGCAUUGGUCAAGAAGGCUCUGAACCAAAGGCUUCGGCACUCAGGUGGACUGGUGAGGAUGCCCUUACCCACAGGACUGGGUCAGGCAGGGAUCUUUAAUGACACCAGUGAUGAGACUCUGCACCAGGCCUUUUGCAGAUGGUGCGAUGAUCUUGGGGAAGGACCAAGAAAUUCAACAGCCUCUCUUCAUCCUUGAAGUUGUGAAAUAUUUUGGCCAAAAAUUCUUGACUGUUGAAAAGUGCAAGUGCUAAAUGAGGAACUAAUGUUGAUAGUUAAUGAUUCAAUUAAAACGGUUAAAUAUUGUUAUUUGUAAUUAUUAAGUAUUAUUUUUAUUACACAAUGUAUGGUAGCUUAAAAUGUUCUGUCAGAGUGGUCAGAUCUAAUGGAUAUUUUAUAUGGAACAAGUGAAGUGAUUUUCAGUGUGAAACACAGCACAGCACACACUGCACAUGGUGAAAUUUGUCUUCUGCUUUUAACAAUCACCCUUGGUGAGCAGUGGGCAGCCAUGACAGGCGCCCGGUGAGCAGUGUUUGGGGACGGUGCUUUGCUCAGUGGCACCUUGGCGGACCAGGAUUCGAACUGGCAAUCUUCUGAUUACGGGGCUGCUUCCUUAACUGCUAGGCCACCACUGCCCCAUUAUGUCACCUGUUAUUACCUGUUUUACGACAAACAAUAAACAUUUGCACGCAAGUAAUGUGAAG
rnacentral:lncRNA from 1 species